rnacentral:miRNA from 1 species
GAGGGGAUGAGAGAGGAGAGGAUGGGAGGGAGGAGUAACAAAAGUAAAAACAAAAACUUGAAAGUGAAAACAAUUUAAAAUAGAUUUCAGUUUUUAAUUUUUGUCUUCACUUUUGUUACUCCUCCCUCCCAUCCUUCACUCUCAUAUUCCCU